rnacentral:lncRNA from 1 species
CAGGAUUUAAGAACCACAUGAUAAAUCCUCCUUUAUCAUUUUGAUAGUAGUUCUAAAGACUUUAUCAUAACAUAUGAGUUUUAUUUAAAAAAAUAUAUUCCUUAUGAUGAUCUACCAGAUAAUAUGAAUCAUUUUAUAAUUCAUAUACUUGUAUGAAGCACAAUCAUCUACAACCUAGAUGAUUGGUUUUAGGACACAUUUUUCAACAAUUUUCACUUGGACUAAAGCCAAU